AAUUGAAUUUUCUUAUAUACAUAAAUAAGAAACCAGUGAGCUCAUUGGAUCCAAACCGGCCCAGUUCACUAUCGUCGCCGGUACUGCAUUCCGCCACCGCGUCUCUGCCGCGGGACCACCGCUUUCUUCCGACGGCUCUAAUUUUGUACUGUUGAUCGAGAACAAAACUUGCCGCAGUGUUUUAGGGUUUGGUAGCGUCAGCUACAAAUCAAAGGACCUGUACUCACCUGAAGAUUUUGAAGUUGAUAGUGAAUCAUGAAAAAAUCGGGAUAUGGUUUACAAUUAAGAGUUCCACCAUCGCAGCAGAAGAAGAAACAGCCGGCGAGGCCUCCGCCUCCUAAAGCACUUGGUUUUGGGGAUGGUGAUGAUGAUGAUGUUGAGAAAGAGAUUUCUCGUCAUGCCUCGAAGAAUAAGGCUCUCAAAGAUAUUGAAGAACAGCAUAAGAAGGCUUUAGAAGAGGACCCUUCAGUAUUUGAUUAUGAUGGAGUGUAUGAUGAUAUGAAAGUGAAGGCUGUCCAACCUCGAGCUCAGGAUCGCGAAGAGAGGAAGCCAAAGUAUAUCCAGAUGCUAAUGGAGAAGGCAAAACAACGAGAACGGGAGCAUGAGGUCAUUUAUGAGAGGAAAAUAGCAAAAGAGAGGAGUAAAGAUGAUCAUCUUUUUGCAGACAAAGACAAGUUCGUCACUGCUGCUUAUAAAAGGAAACUUCAAGAGCAGGCUAAGUGGUUGGAGGAAGAGCGUCUUCGUGAGCUACGAGAGGAGAGAGAUGAUGUUACUAAGAAGACCGACAUCAGUGAUUUUUACUUCAGUCUUCAGAAAAAUGUUGCCUUUGGAGGCGAGGGCAAGUCCAAGAAGGCUGUGAAUCAUCAUGAACCAGAAGCAGUUCAGACAGAAGAAAACCCUUCAUCAUCAGCGGAUGUACAUUCACACAUGUCUAGGGAGAUAAAGACACAAGAUCAUGAACCUUCUGUUUCUCCUCCUUGUAAGGAAAGGACUGAUGGAGCCGCAGAUAUGAAACCUCCUUCAGCUGGUUUGUCUGAAAAGAGGGCUGAAAAACUAACUUCCGACAAUGUACCAACUACUACCACUGAACCUGCGGCAAGUGAUCAACCAAAAGUUGACCAUCAUAAAAGAAGUCUGGACGCUGUUGCUGCAGCUAAGGAACGGUUCUUGGCUAGGAAGAAGGCGAAGGAACAAUAAGGGCUCUGAUCAAAGCUGCAUAGCUUCCUUGUUUUUGAAAACUUCUGGAUAAUGGAGUAGGGUUGUCAAGGAUCAACCAGAAAUCGCCUCUCUAUCCCGUAAAGGUUGGGGUGAGGGUACUACUAUGUUGAAUUGACAGAAAUCACAGUUGGCGAUCAGAUAGUGAAGGUACCAUAUCGAUAUCUGGCACCGAAUUCAUUAGGGAACGGUGGAACGAUUGUGGAUUCAGGCACGACGUUCACUUUCUUGAAUCAUGAUAUAUUUGUGUCUGUGAUGAAUGCAUUUGUGAACCAGGUAAAGCGGUUCUCAAGAACUGAGAAAAUCGAAAGAUUGACAAAUUUAAAGCCAUGUUUCAAUGUUUCAGGGCAUAAAACAGUGUCACUGCCAGAGAUGAAGUUUCAUUUCAAAGGAGGAUCAGAGAUGGUAUUGCCAUUGGUAAAUUACUUCUCUAUUGUUGGUGAAAAUGAUGUGAUUUGUUUGACAUUGGUGAGUGAUUUUAGGCUCGAAUCGUCUACUGGACCAUCGAUAAUUCUUGGAAAUUUUCAAAUGCAGAACUUUUUUCUCGAGUUUGAUCUCAAAAAUGACAUGUUUGGGUUCAGGCAUCAAGUGUGCUAAUGAGUAAUGAGAACGAUGUUGCUCAGAAUCUCUAAAAACGUUAUCAGGUUAUGUUGCUCGAAUGCUUUUUCAAAGAGUACGAGCAAGGUUAAGUGUUGGAUGUGCUAUGUUCUAGUCGACGUUUUUUUAAGAGUCUGAACAGUAUAGUUAGGUGAAAA